rnacentral:rRNA from 1 species
CCAGACUCCUACGGGAGGCAGCAGUGGGGGAUAUUGCACAAUGGGGGAAACCCUGAUGCAGCGACGCCGCGUGAGUGAAGAAGUAAUUCGUUACGUAAAGCUCUAUCAGCAGGGAAGAAAAUGACGGUACCUGACUAAGAAGCCCCGGCUAACUACGUGCCAGCAGCCGCGGUAAUACGUAGGGGGCAAGCGUUAUCCGGAAUUACUGGGUGUAAAGGGAGCGCAGACGGCAGUGCAAGUCUGGAGUGAAAGCCCGUGGCUUAACCACGGGACUGCUUUUGAAACUGUCAAACUAGAGUACGGGAGAGGUAAGAGGAAUUCCUAGUGUAGCGGUGAAAUGCGUAGAUAUUAGGAGGAACACCAGUGGCGAAGGCGUCUUACUGGACUGUAACUGACGUUGAGGCUCGAAAGCGUGGGGAGCAAACAGGGUUAGAUACCCUAGUACCC